UCCCAUAUAGUGUAGUGGUUAGCAUGUCAGGUUUUCAACUUGCUCCUGCUCUUCUGAGCAAAAGUGCACAGUGAACUCCCUGGAGACCCGGGUUCAAACCCCGGUAUGGGAA